rnacentral:rRNA from 1 species
AGCAGCAGCCGCGGGAAUACGAACCGUGCGAACGUUGUUCGGAAUUACUGGGCGUAAAGCGCGCGUAGGCGGCUUGGUAAGUUAGAGGUGAAAGCCUGGGGCUCAACCCCAGAAUUGCCUUUAAGACUGCCGAGCUAGUAGGUGAGAGAGGUAAGUGGAAUUCCGAGUGUAGCGGUGAAAUGCGUAGAGAUGUGGAGGAACACCAGUGGCGAAGGCGGCUCUCUGGUCUGUAACUGACGCUGAGGAGCGAAAGCGUGGGGAGCGAACAGGAUUAGAUACCCCAGUAGUCCCUGUCUCUUAUAC